rnacentral:misc_RNA from 1 species
GAAGUGCGAUAAGCAAUGCGAAUUGCAGAAUUCCGCGAGUCAUCAGAUCUUUGAACGCAAAUGGCGCCGGAGGGAUAUCCUUCUGGCAUGUCUGUUUCAGUGUCUGAGAGGUUUCACCAACAUCUUAAUGUGAUUGACAGCAGCAGCAGCAGCAAGCAAUUGUUGUGGUUGGUGUUGUCUCUCAUGAAAGAUGCGCGAGUGGAUCUUUCGGUCCAAUGAAGUGGUCACAUCACUCGUAUGUGAUUUCAUUGGGAGCACCGAAUUAUCCGCCAUGCUCGCGGUGUCAUCAUAUAAUAUAUGACGAAAGCAAGAAAGAAAGAAAGAGCUUCUUUCUUCUUCUUCUUCUUUGGUUGUAUUUUUGUUUCUCUCUCUACGCCCUGCAUCUGAGAUAGGCAAGAUCACCCGCUGAACUUAAGC